rnacentral:tRNA from 1 species
GCGGGGGUUGCCGAGCCUGGCCAAAACCCAGAAAAAAGGGGCAGGCUAGAGGCGCGAGGCUUAAGACCUCGUCCCGUAGGGGUUCGUGGGUUCAAAUCCCACCCCCCGCACCA